GCCACCGUGGCACAACCUGGUACUGCGCAAGGUUGCUAACCUUGUUUCCUGUUAAAGGAUUUCCCGGUUCAAAUCCGGGCGGUGGCG
rnacentral:tRNA from 1 species